rnacentral:rRNA from 1 species
UCCAAUAGCGUAUAUUAAAGUUGUUGCAGUUAAAAAGCUCGUAGUUGGAUUUGUGGUGGUGGCUCUGGCCCAUUUUGGUGCCGUGAGUCGCUGCCAUCCUUGGGUGGAACCUGUGCGGCAUUAGGUUGUCGUGCAGGGGAUGCUCAUCAUUUACUGUGAAAAAAUCAGCGCGUUCAAAGCAGGCUUAUGCCAUUGAAUGUAUUAGCAUGGAAUAAUAAGAUAGGACCUUGGUACUAUUUUGUUGGUUUGCGCACCGAGGUAAUGAUUAAUAGGGACAGUUGGGGGUAUUCGUAUUCCAUUGUCAGAGGUGAAAUUCUUGGAUUUCUGGAAGACGAACUACUGCGAAAGCAUUUACCAAGGAUGUUUUCAUUAAUCAAGAACGAAAGUUAGGGGAUCGAAGAUGAUUAGAUACCAUCGUAGUC